rnacentral:rRNA from 1 species
AUUGAACGCUGGCGGCAGGCCUAACACAUGCCAGUCGAGCGGAUGAAGGGAGCUUGCUCCUGGAUUCAGCGGCGGACGGGUGAGUAAUGCCUAGGAAUCUGCCUGGUAGUGGGGGAUAACGUCCGGAAACGGGCGCUAAUACCGCAUACGUCCUGAGGGAGAAAGUGGGGGAUCUUCGGACCUCACGCUAUCAGAUGAGCCUAGGUCGGGUUAGCUAGUUGGUGGGGUAAAGGCCUACCAAGGCGACGAUCCGUAACUGGUCUGAGAGGAUGAUCAGUCACACUGGAACUGAGACACGGUCCAGACUCCUACGGGAGGCAGCAGUGGGGAAUAUUGGACAAUGGGCGAAAGCCUGAUCCAGCCAUGCCGCGUGUGUGAAGAAGGUCUUCGGAUUGUAAAGCACUUUAAGUUGGGAGGAAGGGCAGUAAGUUAAUACCUUGCUGUUUUGACGUUACCAACAGAAUAAGCACCGGCUAACUUCGUG